rnacentral:rRNA from 1 species
UGGGGAAUAUUGCACAAUGGGCGAAAGCCUGAUGCAGCGACGCCGCGUGCGGGAUGAAGGCCUUCGGGUUGUAAACCGCUUUUGAUUGGGAGCAAGCGAGAGUGAGUGUACCUUUCGAAUAAGCACCGGCUAACUACGUGCCAGCAGCCGCGGUAAUACGUAGGGUGCAAGCGUUAUCCGGAAUUAUUGGGCGUAAAGAGCUCGUAGGCGGUUUGUCGCGUCUGGUGUGAAAGUCCAUCGCUUAACGGUGGAUCUGCGCCGGGUACGGGCAGGCUAGAGUGCGACAGGGGAGACUGGAAUUCCCGGUGUAACGGUGGAAUGUGUAGAUAUCGGGAAGAACACCAAUGGCGAAGGCAGGUCUCUGGGUCG